GGUAACGCUCGGCGGGCGGCACAUAAGACGAUGCAAGUCGAACGGAAGUCGGUUAUAAAAGUGGAAGUUGAAGAUUUAUCUGAUUGAAAUUUUAUAACAAUGGCUUUAGUGGCGGACUGGUGAGUAACGCGUAAGCAAUCUGCCUAUUAGAGGGGAAUAACAAUGAGAAAUCAUUGCUAAUACCGCAUAUGCCAUAGGUACCACAUGGUGCUAGUGGGAAAGGAGCAAUCCGCUAAUAGAUGAGCUUGCGUCUGAUUAGUUAGUUGGUGGGGUAACGGCCUACCAAGGCGACGAUCAGUAGCCGGACUGAGAGGUUGAACGGCCACAUUGGGACUGAGAUACGGCCCAG
rnacentral:rRNA from 1 species